AUUUCCUCUAUCGCUAGAGGGCAGAACUGUUGCUAAAUAAACCAGCGGGAAAACAGAAAGGAAAACAAGGACAUUCAACAGUCUUUACAUCGGCUGGAAGACACAAUGGAAGAAUCUUUAUUUGGAGACUGCUUCCUUUGGAGUGUUUGGUCUGCUCUGAUGCUCAGAAAGAGCCUAGUUCUGUGAUGGGAUGAAGGGGUCCAUGGUCCUACACCCUGGAAAAAGAGGAAGGAAGGAAGGAGAAAAGGUAGGGAGAUAAGCCCAGAUGAGGGCAAAAAACAGCAGGAACAAGUUCAGGGAAAAAACUAAUUUAGUAAAUAUGAUAGUGGAAUGAGAGGUAAUGAUAAAAGACAGUAUAAUUGGAAUUGAGGAUAAUAAAUCAAAUCAAAGGAGAAUGUCUGAAACUGAAGUCAGUAUUCUAAUGCUGUAGGUGAGAUGGC
ensembl:lncRNA